rnacentral:lncRNA from 1 species
CUCUCUCUGCACAAAAUAUUCCAAUCUACCAUUCCUACCCCCAAUCCGAUGGAUAUCUGUUUAUAAAAAUUCUCCAAUCAACCAUACCCACCCUCACUCUCUCUCUCCCUCUCUCCAAAAUUGUUUAUGAGAAUCUUCACUAUAAGGAGUUGAAUGAUGGAGCUCUCAUUUGCAAGAUAUAGUUGCACACUUUUACUCCCUGACUAGUGCCUAACCUUGAUUUGGAUUUGGAGAAGCAGAAGCUGAAUGUUCAAUAUGGUCUCGAAUUUAAAUUUGGCUCUGUGUUGAUGUGGACAGAAAAAUCAGCUAAGGAUAGUGGAAUUUUAUUCAUGGACCAAACAUUAUCGCAUAAAUAAAAGCAUGAAAAAUUAUUACAGAUUCAAGCAAUCAUAUUAUGUAAUGAAAAAAAAUAAAAUUAAAAGAAAUAUAUAAAAGGCAAAAUCAUAUACCCAUUAUACCACUAUCAUAACCAAAAAUCAAUCAUCCCAUGACUGCUGCCAUUAGUGUUAUAACCACAUGCCGUGUGAGUUUUCUGAGGUACUUUGCAAGAUCGUCAUCUCGACCACCGUGGCUAAUAGCAAUAGUAGCAAAUCCCAUCUCCGACCCUCGCAAAUAAUAGCAAUAACCACCAUUUUUCAUCUUCCUUCAAUUUAGAUUGGGGAUUUUGGCGCCGAUUUUGCCACCUUUCAUGGUUGUUUCGGUGCUCGGUGUUGGACUAGGGUUUNNNNN